CUGCUUUUUUAUGAAGUCCACGAAGCCCAAAGCUGAUAAGACUGGCGAUUGAUCCUAAAGCUGAUUCUGACAGACGAUUGCACCAUCACAAUAUUAAAGGUUCAAUAUACAGUCAGCCUAACAUAAGAAAAAAUCCAAAGAUCCACGGCUUGCUACAAAGUUAAGAGACCAUUCUGUGCCACAAAGAAAUUGUUUAGGAAGGGGAGAACUGGUGGAUUUGCAUUUUUGGUACAGUUCAAAGAGAUUUUUAAAAUGGUCAGAUUAGAGGGAGGACAACUGAAAAUAAUAGAGAUACAGAAGGAAAAAGAACAAGGAAAUAUAUGGAAUAAUUAUGUAAUGGGGAGGAUGUACACAAUUUUGUCUGAAUUUGACCUGUAAAGAUUUCCCAUUCUUAUAUGUAUGCUGGAAUAUCAAAUAACUUGAUUUUUCAUAAAUUUAUAAUAGAGAAUACAUGACAAAUGUUAUUGCUGAUGUUUCAAUUUUGCUGUGGACACUUUCAUGUCAUAUGGUAUUUUUAUACAAGUACAUGACCUAAUCAUGUGACCUAAUCAUGUUAUUCAUUUGUACAUGUAUACAUAUUUAACUACUUAAUCAUU